rnacentral:rRNA from 1 species
AACGAUGAAACUCUAGCUUGCUAGAGAUGAUUAGUGGCGGACGGGUGAGUAACAUUUAGGAAUCUGCCUAGUAGUGGGGGAUAGCUCGGGGAAACUCGAAUUAAUACCGCAUACGACCUACGGGUGAAAGGGGGCGCAAGCUCUUGCUAUUAGAUGAGCCUAAAUCAGAUUAGCUAGUUGGUGGGGUAAAGGCCCACCAAGGCGACGAUCUGUAACUGGUCUGAGAGGAUGAUCAGUCACACCGGAACUGAGACACGGUCCGGACUCCUACGGGAGGCAGCAGUGGGGAAUAUUGGACAAUGGGGGCAACCCUGAUCCAGCCAUGCCGCGUGUGUGAAGAAGGCCUUUUGGUUGUAAAGCACUUUAAGCAGGGAGGAGAGGCUAAUGGUUAAUACCCAUUAGAUUAGACGUUACCUGCAGAAUAAGCACCGGCUAACUCUGUGCCAGCAGCCGCGGUAAUACAGAGGGUGCGAGCGUUAAUCGGAAUUACUGGGCGUAAAGCGAGUGUAGGUGGCUCAUUAAGUCACAUGUGAAAUCCCCGGGCUUAACCUGGGAACUGCAUGUGAUACUGGUGGUGCUAGAAUAUGUGAGAGGGAAGUAGAAUUCCAGGUGUAGCGGUGAAAUGCGUAGAGAUCUGGAGGAAUACCGAUGGCGAAGGCAGCUUCCUGGCAUAAUAUUGACACUGAGAUUCGAAAGCGUGGGUAGCAAACAGGAUUAGAUACCCUGGUAGUCCACGCCGUAAACGAUGUCUACUAGCCGUUGGGGUCCUUGAGACUUUAGUGGC